UUAGAAGUGCCAGAUAAAAUGGGUUGGAUUUAGGUUUCAAUAAUGGUUUUGAGUUCCCUUCUAAG
rnacentral:tRNA from 1 species